CCGAGUACUCGGGGGCUUACCCCCCCGGACUCCCACCCAUUGCUUACCUACCCGUUCCUUCGGCGAAGGGCGGUGCCCCUCGGGGUGCCCCGUCGCCGGCCUUUCAAAACCUCAAGUUUAAACAGUGCAGUCUGAGCAUUUGCAAGCAAAAUAUAA
rnacentral:misc_RNA from 1 species